GCGAUCAUACCAGAACUAAUGCACCGGAUCCCAUCAGAACUCCGAAGUUAAGCUUGCUUGGGCGAGGGCAGUAAUUGGAUGGGUGACCCCCUGGGAAGUCCUAGUGUUGCACCU
rnacentral:rRNA from 1 species